AUCUCGUACCCGUGCGACAAACAAACCAAGCGGGGAAGGAGGAGGAGGAGGUGGUGGUAGUGGAGGAGGACGGGGGUGGAUGCAACAGAUUGCUACAGCGGGACAGUCCUUCGCUAAAUUUCACCAACAAACACAAGUGAGGCGAAACUCACAGGCGAGUAAACACCGAAACUCCCGCUGUAAAUAAGUCGUUGCCGAGCUAGCCUUCGUUAGGUCGCGACGAACAUGGGAAUUACUCUCCGUCGUUGUCUCACUUUGUAGUUAGUUGGCACCUGUUUUUUUCCUCCACUCUCCACGUUUUCACAAGCGCUCUUUUGUGCGUAAAAACCACAGGCUACAUCUCCGUGUGGAAGAAGGUGGCAUUCUGGGUUUUUCGUCUCGUCCUGGAGUUAAUUUCCUCUCCGUCCAGUUUCUGACCCGGAACAUUCACUCCCUCAUUCCAAUCCUACGUCAUCAUCCCAGCUGCUCCUCCCUCCAGUCCCUCCUCUGGAAGUCCCGUCCCGCACACGGCCGCCAUGAUGGGACAGAGGGAUGACAGCAGCCCGGGGAGGAGGAGGAACAGGAGGAACAGGAGGAGGACACACGGAUCAAAGGCUCUGCGCCUCAAGUCAAAGGUCAGGGUCACCUCUAUCCAACAAUGCAGAGAUCCUCCGGUAGAAGGAUUGCCCUAUUAACCAUCAGCCUUUGUUACCAGCCCCUCCAUGGUCAGUAAAGCUUCAGUUCUGUGGUGAGCCACUAGCUGUAUCUGUAUCUGUCUCACUGAAUCUGUGUUUCAAGUAUGAAGUAUCUUCUUUUCCAUUCGCUUAUACAAAUGGUCCCUCACAGCCGCAACACAACCUAGAAACGGAGUAUGCUGGAGAAAUGGAAGAACACCAAAAACCAAUAAAUUAAACAUGAAGACAGUUUGAUGAUGCAGUCUGAACAGGCUACCACAGGUGGUGCUGAGGGCUAGAGUGGAGCCUUUCCUCUAAUAUCUGCAACAGUUGUUCAGACAUAUCCCCAAAAAAUCAAAAAUAGCCAGGAAGAGUACUUGAGAAGUGGCAGAUGCCCUUUGUCCAUGAGAGACAUUAUAGGGGGUUACAGUUAUUUAAAAAAGCUAAGUUUUUCUCCAUAUUGCAAAACUACAAGAACCACUGACCUUUUAUUUAUGGAAAAAGUAAGUGUCUCACAAC
ensembl:lncRNA